rnacentral:lncRNA from 1 species
UGUCGGUUGGCUUUCAGGGUUCGUCGAGGUGUGAACGGUGCAUUCGUUCCAGUGAGCAUCGUCGACGCGAAGGGUAUACAACGGAGGGGAAAACCCCGGAAUCCGGGUCAGCCCGGUAAAAUCUUACUUUUUUCACAUUACAUUAUCCUGCAGUGUUCAAACACUCGUCGACUCUGUGACCUACGCGUGUCACACGUGCGAACGCACAUCGAUGCUCAUAAGUUCUGGUCUCUCCUGCUUUUCGGUUUCCCAUGCCCGAUAUUCAGGUCACGGGUAAAACCCCUGACGAGGCGAGCCAAGCUGCUUGAGGUUUCGAGGGUGGACUUACAUCGGAUGCUCGGAGAAUUGACGAUCACGCCUUUUGAAUCAGCGUUUCAUAAAUUCGAUUGUCAAAUGGUCUGAUCUGACCUCCUGGAAUUAUAUUUGCUAGCGCAAUACUGACACGCACUUAGAACAGAGAUCAAAUAUAUGCUCAGACUAAUUUCUAUUGCGUAGAAGAAAUAUUUUUCAUUCACUCUAACCGUCAUUGGCGGAAAUAAUAUUGCUGAAGACAUUUUAAAUGGGUUUUCUUUUAACCGAUUUUAGCUUUCGAUUCGGACGGCUCGUCUUAUUUUUCCUCAAGUAACUGCGAAAAAAGUUUGCUAAUUCAUGGAAUUGAGUCUGCGACCGUAAUUUAGUGGUAUACGAAUGAUUGAACGAUUCGUGAAAAAUUGGUCACGAAGGUCUUGAGGUAUAUAACAUAGUUAUUCAAAAAUCAUCAGUCACCUCUAUGCAAUAAAAUUAAAAUCGUGACCCUUCAUCACUUAAUUGAGUGGUAAAAAAACAUUGUAUUUACCGGUUUCGACAUUCAUUUAGCCAAAGGUGAUUCGUUUUAUUUACACAUGAAGCAAGAACGAUUAAGGUACUUGAGAAAUAUCACCUCAUCGUAAUUUUCGAUGAGAUUUUUAUUCGUAUUUUGUUUUUUGACAAUUCUGAUUAUUCUGAAAGUGUACAAAUGCAACUCUGAGCUCACUUCGUUAAUCACAUCUGCAGCGAAUAACCUUGAACAGAAAUACCAGUGCCGCGUAAUUUCCGUUCAUUAAUUCAAAUUACAUUGAUACACUUUACUCAGAAGUUGAUAAAGGUAAUUGCGAUUAUAUAAAAAAAAAACACGGGGAAAGCCCCGACAAAGAUUAAAUUUAUAUAAAAAAUUCCCGAUUGAAGAUAAGCGGUUUCACCGGGUAACCGCACUCACAAUCAGUUUUACCCAACGCUGGGAUUUUCCUGCAGAGAUUCGUUAGAGGCUUUUUUCUAAUCGUAAGAAGAACGGCGAUACGAUGAUUGUACCAGAGUUUGAUAGAAACCCUCCGUUUUACCGGAUGCGAGUGAUAACGGACCCGGAAUACGACCAGGAAAUGCUGCAAGUGAUUAAAAACCGAUCGAACCAUUACUGGCGGACGGUAUCAACGGAGGAUUAAUUUCUGGGGAUUUGAAUUUAUUAAUUUAUGGGACUCAUAAUGAUAAACGGACCGGAGAACAGCAACGCUUUAUGGUUUGUAAUUGUUAUUUUGUCUUUCUUUAUCGAUUCUAAUACCCGACUAAUGGAAUUCGACGUAACGAUCGUUUACGACACGGUUCAAUCGAAUUUUACUCAAGCCGCUUUAAUUCCCACCUCUUUGAAGAGAAAAUUAUGAAUAAAAAUGCUGAAAUCAUUGCACAAGAAUCGUUUAUUUAAGAUCUCUUUGCAACAAAAGGUGGCAAGAGUGUGAAAUUAUGAUUUCCAAACAGGGCAAACAAUACCAGCGAGAAAUUUAAUCAGUCUUCUUACAAGUUGUCAGAUAUGUUCAUGCUCAUGUAACCUUGUGUAAGUUAUCAGAGCAAGUUUCGAUUACCCUUUUCU